rnacentral:rRNA from 1 species
GGAAGUAAAAGUCAUAACAAGGUUUCCGUAGGUGAACCUGCGGAAGGAUCAUUAAUAAUGCCCUCUGGCUUCGGUCAGCUGGGUUCAAUGUGUGUCAUCUCUUCGGAGAUGGCCAUCCACACACACCGUGAACUGUGACUUCGGUCAUCACAAACUUUUAGUAAUGAAUGUAAAAAUCAUAACAAAAUAAAACUUUUAACAACGGAUCUCUUGGCUCUCGCAUCGAUGAAGAACGCAGCGAAAUGCGAUAAGUAAUGUGAAUUGCAGAAUUCAGUGAAUCAUCGAAUCUUUGAACGCACCUUGCGCCCUUUGGUAUUCCGAAGGGCAUGCCUGUUUGAGUGUCAUGAAACCUCACUCCACUUGGGUUUUUGCCUGAGUGGUAGUGUAUUGGGUGUUGCCUUGCCAAAGGCUCGCCUUAAAAGAAUAAGCACCUUGGAUGUAAUACGUUUCAUCCUUUCGGGUGGCUAAUAACCCCACAUAACUCAUGAUCUGGCCUCAAAUCAGGUAGGGCUACCCGCUGAACUUAAGCAUAUCAAUAAGCGGAGGAAAUGUCUCCGCG